rnacentral:rRNA from 1 species
GACGAACGCUGGCGGCGUGCUUAACACAUGCAAGUCGAACGGUAAGGCCCUUCGGGGUACACGAGUGGCGAACGGGUGAGUAACACGUGGGUGACCUGCCCUGCACUUCGGGAUAAGCCUGGGAAACUGGGUCUAAUACCGGAUAGGACCCUGGGAUGCAUGUCCUGGGGUGGAAAGCUUUUGCGGUGUGGGAUGGGCCCGCGGCCUAUCAGCUUGUUGGUGGGGUGAUGGCCUACCAAGGCGACGACGGGUAGCCGGCCUGAGAGGGGGACCGGCCACACUGGGACUGAGAUACGGCCCAGACUCCUACGGGAGGCAGCAGUGGGGAAUAUUGCACAAUGGGCGCAAGCCUGAUGCAGCGACGCCGCGUGAGGGAUGACGGCCUCCGGGUUGUAAACCUCUUUCAGCACAGACGAAGCGCAAGUGACGGUAGGUGCAGAAGAAGGACCGGCCAACUACGUGCCAGCAGCCGCCGUAA